AGCUUAUCUCCAUAUUCUACAGAUAAAAUGGUUGAACUUUUACGUGGAUGAGUCUUACGUUUAAAAACAAAUGUUAGGACAACAUUUCGUUCAUAUCCCUUGUGUCCAGGUCAUGCCCGCGUGCAAUGACUUUUUUUCACUUUUUUUUUUAUAUUUUAUUUUCAAUUACAUUUUUUAUAUGCGUUUUUUUAAUUAUCUCAACAAAUUUUUAUUUUGUUUUUUUAAUGUUUUUGUUGUCCCAUGACCAGGAACAAAACUGCUCUGAAGAGGACCAACCAGGCUAAUGCAACGACCCGGAAAACCCGGUUGACCCGGCGGAUCGACCCACGACCCGGGCGACCCGGGCAAACCCGGACGAGACCCGGUGUUUUGCAGAUGGAUCCGCUUGAGAUGAUUGCAAUUUGCAAGUCGAUCUUGGAGAUCUUAAGGCCUUUCCUUGCUUUGCUUCAAAACAGGGUCGAAUACGUCCCGUUGCAGUCGGAUGUUUAUUCACCCACUCCUUCACAGAGCGAUGACUAAGAGCGGGGAAUCAGGGGAAAGAUGUAAAAGAGAGGGUUUGUGUGAUGUUUUUAAGCAUGGGGGAGUCAAGGAGCAGAGAGGGUAGAUGAUUUUUGUGAGGAGAUGGUGAUGAAAUCAAGAGGCCUUUCUCUGCACAAAACAAUCGACAAUAUCAUGUUCAUCCCUCUCCCACACCCUACCACAUUGGGUCCCACUUCACCCCUUCAGUGCCUCCCUUUCUCAUUUCUUACCUUUAACCCAACUUCACCCCUUCAGUGCCUCCCUUUCUCAUUUCUUACCUUUAACCCAACUUCACCUCUAAAUAACCCGGGUUUUAUGGGUUGACCCGGGUUAACCCGGGUUGACCCAUAAAACCCGGGACUCGGUUCUUUGACCGGGUCAAUUCCCGGAUCGGGUUUAAUAACUAUGUUAAAACCCUUUCAGUUUUUUUUUUAAUUAUUCUAGUUAUUAAAUUUCUUGUUACUUGAUUGAUAUAAUUUCUUUUUAAUGAUUAGGAAAUAUGAAUUUUGUUCACCUCCUUUUGAAUUAUUAGGGGUUGACAUACAUUUUUAGUUUGUAAUACUAAUAAAAUGAAUAUUAGCCCCUUUUCGGUU